rnacentral:lncRNA from 1 species
GAGGUUAAAUAAGAAAAAGUAAAUUUGUUUUUUAUCUCAACAGGAGCACCCCUAAGCUAUGUUCGGCCUUUGUACUGAGAGAGGAAGUUGCAUCUCUGGGUGGACACAGCCUGUGGCUCCUGUUGUACAAAGGGCCAGGCCCAGGAGAAGAAUGGAUUGGAGAAGGGACACACCAUGUUUCAUAGCUGUGACAUUUGCCAUCGGGCCUCAGGACACCCAAUGGCAGAGGUCCUGGCAGGUGGUCCUGAGGAUCCUGCCAGGAAGAGAUGACUACCCCUUGGCAACUCUUGCUUUAUUACUGGCCUUGGGACAUCGUCAGAAUGGAGAUAUUUUGACAUCCCACUGUAUGUGAACAUAUCGAGCAAUGAAUCAGCAACAUUUACGUCAUCAGCUGGGACAUGACUUCCAAAAGAUCAGAGCCCUUUGCGUUGGCAAGUGCAGCCUAUCUCAUUGAUCUGUGAUAAUUCAUGGGAAAACACACACCUCACUUCACAUCAUCUGUCCUGUGUUUUCCUGUCUCAAUCUUGGAACUCUAAACUAAAAGCUGCCCAGUUACGAUGACCGUGAUGGCCCACAACUAAAUUACAGGGCAUAAGGUUAUCUUAAAGGACAAUGUUUUACGAAGGCCAUGCCAUG